UAGGGAAUCUUCCGCAAUGGGCGAAAGCCUGACGGAGCAACGCCGCGUGAGUGAUGAAGGUCUUCGGAUCGUAAAACUCUGUUAUUAGGGAAGAACAAAUGUGUAAGUAACUAUGCACGUCUUGACGGUACCUAAUCAGAAACCCACGGCUAACUACGUGCCAGCAGCCGCGGUAAUACGUAGGUGGCAAGCGUUAUCCGGAAUUAUUGGGCGUAAAGCGUGCGUAGGCGGUUUUUUAAGUCUGAUGUGAAAGCCCACGGCUCAACCGUGGAGGGUCAUUGGAAACUGGAAAACUUGAGUGCAGAAGAGGAAAGUGGAAUUCCAUGUGUAGCGGUGAAAUGCGCAGAGAUAUGGAGGAACACCAGUGGCGAAGGCGACUUUCUGGUCUGUAACUGACGCUGAUGUGCGAAAGCGUGGGGAUCAAACAGG
rnacentral:rRNA from 1 species